rfam:Gorilla gorilla gorilla genomic chromosome, chr1, whole genome shotgun sequence
GCCGGGUGUGGUGGCGGGCACCUGUAAUCCCAGCUACUUGGGAGGCUGAGGCAGGAGAACUGCUUGAACCCAGGAGGUGGAGGUUGCAGUAAGCAAAGCAGAGAUCAUGCCACUACACCACUCCAACCUGGGUGACAAAGCAAGCCUCUGUCUCAA